AGGAAAGUCUGCAAGGAGAUAUGAAACCUCCAACUAGUAAUUUCAAAUGUCUUCACUAAAAUUUUAUGAGGGCAAUAGCUGAACUGAUUUUCACAACUGUUCUUUUCUUUAGCCUCUGCCCUUCUGGUUAAGGAGCUUCUAACAAUCAAAUUGGCAUGGUUAAAAGAGGGAAAGUGAGAGAAGACACAGGCAGCCUAUAGCAGGGCCAGCAGAGCCACCCAGGGAGCCCGUCACUCAGGAAUUGACAGAGACACAGUCACUUUGCCUUCAAAGUUACAUCACGUCUUUAUUCAAAUUUACAUUCUCCACUUCUGGGAAACUCGUGGUCCCUCGACCAAUCAUCUCUAAAUGUCAGAUGGGAUUCUUGCUGUCUUUGUUUUUUUCUGAUUAAUAAACAUCAGUAAAAUCUUCAAGCCUAAGGACACUGGCACCUGGGUGACCAUCUUCCAUAAUACCCUUAUUUCACAGAGCAAAAGAAGAAAGGCUCACACAAGGAAGUGAUUUGCUCAAAGCCAAAUAGGAAAAGGCAGAGCUGGAAUGGUAUCUUACGUUUCUUGACUUUCAGUUCCAAAAAAAUUUCUCUGACUUCAUGCCACAUCAAUGAGAUUCCUUGGGUGUGUUUCAUACUGAUAUAUUUUUUUAUGUGCAUCUGCUAUGAUUAGCCCGGUAUGACCUUCACAGCUUAUUAUUAUCAUUAAUAUCCUCAUAAGUUGAGCUUGAUAAUAAGCAACAAAUAAGGUAAAUAAUUAUGGUUAGACUUGCAAUCUCAGUAUACUGAUUCUAUUAAAAAAACUAAUCUUAUAUGGAAAGAGUACUUCAUAGACUUAAAAAGUACACUUAUAUAUUUGACCACUUCCAUAUAUAUUUUUCCCAUUUAAG
rnacentral:lncRNA from 12 species